rnacentral:lncRNA from 1 species
UUCGGACCCAUAUGACAGACAGUUUGAUUCUUUUUGUCUUUCUACAGAGGUAGUGAAAUUAUUAUGCUCUCCAUCUGCUGUUCCUUACAGAAUUUAUGUUUGGUUUCCUCACAUGUAAGGAGAAAGGACAUUCACACAGGAUUUUCACUGUUAGAGUGCUUAAGAAACAUCAACAAGAAAGGGCCCUUGGCUGUCUCUGUUUCUAGGAAUGAAGGCCCAGCUCCGGUCCAGACAAUGGUGGAAUUGUGCCCUUGGUUUCUGGGAAAAUCACUGAAGUGGGAGAAAGAGCUACGUGAAAGAGUAGAAAGAGAAGACCAGAGAAAUUACAGAUAGGAUAGAACUGUUGAAAUGGGGCUUGUUAGUAGCUCAAGGAUUCAAGAGGGACAGGUACACCAACACGGCAAGGCAUAAAUUCCUAAAGGAAGAAGCCAGGGAGUCUGCUCAAGCAAGCUGGAAAUGACUGGGCCUUGGGUCUGAGCCACUCAUGAUGUCCAUGGAGCUGGUGGCAGCCAGCAGCUUGGUAGCCCACAGACUCAGUGCUGGGGGCUGCAGAAGCCAACGCUUCCCCACGUGGAGGUGAGUGAGUGAGGUGUGGCAUGCUUAGCCUGACAGCUAAUGCUAAUGCUUGUGGACUGAUGCUUAGCCCAACAGCUCAUUAAAUCCCACCUAUUUUCUGUGUGCUGCAGACAAUAAUUGCUUUAUACUGUAUGUUAUAAAUAACCUUUAUCCUAACUCUUUCUGUAUUGACUAAAACACCUGGAAAAAUGGAUCAAAACUGGCAAAAAUACCUGCCUCUUUUAUAUUUCUUUUCCAGAAAACAUUACCUAUUUCUCUUAGGCACAGGAGAUCAGUCUAUGGCUGGAAAACUUCUAAGUCCCAGAUUUCCAGACCUUAAGCCCAAUUACACCGCACUUCUGGUUUCUUUUGGCCUUGCAUUUACCAGGCCACAGUUCUCUCUGUGUUAACAAUAACAGAAUCUUUCCAUUUACAAAAUUUUCAGUAAAAUGAAAAACAAAUGUCAAUUAUUCUUGCCUCCCUUUAGCAUCACACAUAUCACAGUGUGACUGGAGACAAAUUCUGCAGAUUGUAUAGGAGGGCACAUGAAGAAACAAUUCACUGAAGAACAGACAGAAGGAUAUGAAAUUCCCCCAGUCCAUAAGGAACAAGACUUUAGUACUCAUCCAAAUAAUAAAAAAAACACACAGUCCA